CCUUUUUACCUAAUGGUUAUUUAACUGAUUAUCAUUUACUUUUGCCAUUGAUUUUAUUUUUAUGCUAGGGUUACUGUGUUCUUCUUUUGUGCUAGGGCUACUGCUCCUUUGUGAUACUUAAGCACUUAAGCAUUACAAAUGUGAGGAAACAGAAAAAGAAUUGUCACUGCCUUUUGUUUCCUGAAAUUUGUGGCUCACAUUUUUGCCAUUGGAGAACUAUUUUUCAAAGAUCUAGCUGAUCUUAUUUUUCGGUUUGAUUCUUGAACAUGAUGAAGAUUGAUCAGAGAGCCCAAGUGCAAUUAUACCAAGAGUUAGGUUCCCACUGUGUUUAUCCUUGUUUUGAUGUCCUGGUGACAACUUACUGAAAAGAGAACUUAAACCUUCUUAUGUUACUAAUGAUCUUUCAAUUACUGCCAAUCCUUUGUACUCUUGCUUUUAUGGCUCUUUCAUGUGGAUGGACUCGUUCAGUUGCCAUUGAUCAAUCAGAGCUAUUUGGGGAAGCCAUGGUUUCUGCUCUUAUACAGUUCGCUUUGAAUUUUGGCUGUAGUAGUUCUCGUUUUCCCUUUAACUAAACCAUUUUUAAUUGUGUGCUUGUCUUGUUUGUCUCCCUAUCUCUCUAUAUCAAUUCCUUGGAGACAUUAACGACCGACAAAAGGAUGAGCAGAAACCUGUCCGUUGUAGCUGCACUCCACCAAAAUUUUAAGAGUAGAUGAUCUUCUGUGGAUCUGCAAACCUUAGCAUUAUACACUCCGUUUCUCUGCUACUUUGCUUCUCUGGUGUAUUUCUAUUUUUUUUUUGGUAAGAAAAAAGAAACAAAAGAAAAAAGCUUGACAAACAACGGAUCCUAUGAAUCUCUUUCGAAUGAACUGCAUGAGAGUGACAUUCAUUUUGCCACCUUAUUUAUGGGAUUAUUUCACUUGUUAUGGUUGUAGAAGGUAUAUCUUCCAUUAUCUUGUUCUUUCUCUUAAGUGUUUGUUGGUCCAUGAGACCCUUUUUACGAUGCAUUUUAGAGUUUAUCAUCAUCUCCGUUUGGUAAAGGUUUCUUUUCCUUUAAGAGGAUAUACAUGUGUACAAUAAGGAAAAGAAAUGAGUUAUGGCGUUGGAUUCUAUUUAUUGGAUCAAUUUGUCUCUUAGGGUUCUAACUACGCUUAAUAUCUUUUAUCGAUGGAUUCGUUUUCUGGAAAGACGCUUGUUUUUGGUCAUUGUUUUGACAAAAUGUAUCUCAGAAAGUAGCCCGCAUUUAUCAUGCUGACUUUAUUAUGCAAGUUUUAGUCCGAGUGAGUUGAUGUCACUGUAUUUACUACUCACUCGGUUUCAUUUUAUGUAUAUUAGUUUGACUAGACACGAAGUUUAAGAAUCUAGUUUGAAUCUAUCUUAAACUAAAGGUAUGCCACAUACCAAAAACGCCCUUUGAGCUUGUGUCUUAAGCAUACCAUGUCAUUCCUAUAACGAACCCAUAAGUUAAAACGGAGGGAGUACAUAUUAGGACACAAGGACCUGAAGAAGUAGGUUUUGGAUUAUGAGUUAGUUUGACAUUUUCGGGCUUCAUAUCUUUAAAAUUUAUUGACAUUGUUCCACUUGACAUGCAUCGUUUCUGUUAUUUGACGAUGCAAAUAACAUAAAGGUUUUGCCUUUUUUGUUUGCUAUUCCAUUUGUUAGAUAGUAAUGAUAAAUGUUUUCAGCUUGAUAUAGAUUGCAUUUAUAUGAGUGUUGAUGAGAUAACUGUCUUAUUUAGUUGCUUAACUGUGCGAUAUUGAAUUGGCACAACUUUUUUUGCAUGAUUUUGACGUGGGAGCAAGAUGGCAUUUUAAUUGAGUUGCAUGGAUUGAAUUGGCAAAAUCCGUAGUGCUGGGAAACUGUGAAGCGUAAUACUAGGAAAAGAUUCUAGCUUUAUGAACAACCAUGUCUAUACUUUUAGUGUGUGUACGUACAGCCAGUUAGAUACUCUGCAUGCUUGUAUCUCACAUGUCACAUGAGCAUCUUGGUUAUGUACUCCUUUUAACUGCAUCUUUUGUUUCCUAGAAUGACACAUGUAUGGAGAGAUUCUUUGCAGGAAGGAGGAAGAAUUGCACAAUUGAUUUUGAUUCUCGACUUGACUAGCCGAAAGUGCUCUCACUGUUUAAGAUUUUUCGUUGAUGAGGACCUGUACUACCCUUAAAUAGAAGAGGGAAAAGAAAAACAGAUAGGGAAUACAUUAUAUCUUCAUAUCCAGAAGUGCCCAGGGCAGCUUUUCGACGAGGGACAACUCUCAACAUAUAGUGAUUUUUGAGAGGAGCUAGGGCCUAGUGCAAGUUUCCGUACCCCAAGAAACCAAAGCAUGUCAAAUCUAUUCUUUCAGAUUACAAAAGAUGAUGUACCAGAAGUCUGAGCAACUUAUUUCCUUGUUCUGAUGCUGAGUAGUACUUAAUAGAUAAUGGAAUGUGCAUCCUCAAUCUUUUAGAAAAGGUCGGGUUCUAAAUAUAGUGUCAUGGAUGACUUCCUUUGGAUUCCUUUUCUUUUUAUCUUUUGGCUGUAUGAGAAAUGAUUCUUUAGGCUGCAGUUCUACAUUUAUGUACUGACUAAAAUUAUAAGAAGCAGGCGUCAGGAGCAAAGAUGUACAAUAGCAAAAAAGGAGAGUGAAUUGGCACAAUGAAUACAUAUUUAGGUUUUCAAUCUGAUGCACUAAAUCAGAUAUUUGGUCAUUCAGGGAAAACUUAUAAUGUUCAGUGAUGUGCUCUCCCCUUACGAGAGAAAAUUACUAUUUAAGGAGUUCAAAUCUGAGCACCUUUUAUCAGAAACAGCCUCUCUGUCUCUCGAGGUAGUGAUAUACUCUUCAGUUUUAAGCAUUAUACAAAGGCUCAGAUGCAUGAUGCUACAUUGACCUCAUAACACAGCCAUUCGUUUUAAGGAAUCUGACCGGCACUAGCAUGGAAUUUUGAUGAAAACAUGAAGUGAGGUUUUAGCCACCGUAUUUGGACAUACUGGUCUAGGUGAUGGUGCUCAGCCCCAUGCAAACUUCUUUCAGUUAAUUGGAACCAGAUUUGAUCAGUCAGUGCAUAUGCUGCUGAUCCAUCGGAAACAGCCCCUCUACCUCCCAAGGUAAGGGGUGAGGUUUGCGUACACACUAUCCUCCCCAGACCCCACUUGUGGGAUUGCACCGUUGAAGCUUGCCUUAAAAAAAAAAGACCGGACAGUUCAUGAUAAAGGCAUAUAUUACAGGGUGUUUUGGGAGUCCUCUACUGCCGUUGGACCUUGUAUUAUUUGCUAGGCAUCAACCAGUGCUAUUUGGCACUUGUGCUGGUGGGAUUGUGCUGGUGGGAGGUAGCAAAGUAUUCGACGGAAUAAUAUUCUGUAUAUCCCACCAAAGUAUUCGACGGAAUAAUAUUCUGUAUAACUAUGAUUGGAGGACUCCUAUUUACAUUAGAUCCUACAAAAAAGUAAACAAAGGAGACUCUCCUUUACAAAAGUAUUCUGUACUACAUAUAAGAUAACACCAAAAGAGUAAAAGAUCUUUCUAAAACAUGCUGAAA